ensembl:lncRNA
CUUCUUGUGCCUUCUUGCGUCCUUGGGUGACUUUAAAGGUACUUGGGACAGAAUGAACUGUUGUUAUAUUUGCAGUCCGGUAUUAUGGUAACAUUGUUUUGACAGGAAUCUUGGUUAGUGAAGGUGUUUAAACGUCUUCUCUUACUGGGUCUUGUUCUCUGUGGGCCUGCCUCACAGAUCUGGUUGUGAUGUCAUACCACAUGAGGAAGUCCAUAUAUGGUCCUGCCUUCAGAGCGGUUUAACCAGCACAGGGAGCAGUUGGAAAGACCACCCUGCCUCUGGUCCGAAGAGAGACAACAGUCCCCUGUGAGCGGAAUACGGAGCUCAUAUAAAAGCAGAGGCUGGGAGGAGUAUGAACUGGGAGGGGAACUGGUCCAACUGGUUGGACAUCAUUUCCUUGAUAUGAGUCGGACGGUUUGGUGUGGCUCACUUCAUUACAGCAGGAAGACGACUAAGGCCUCCAGUCUACUAUGGAUGAGGAGAGAGAGGAGGGGGGUCCUACCUCUAAGACCACUCUGUCUGGGGAACAUGGCCGCCGGAGCAAAGCUAAGAGGUAAGAAGAGGAUCUCUCUGUCUGUGACUGUUGUCCAUCUCAGAGCUCAGCAGUGGUACAUCAUGACUCCAUCAUUAGUCUGAGUAAAAGCUGUGUGUUUGUGUGUGUGUGUGUGUGUGUUGAAGCCCAGAGCGGCAGCAGAGAGCAGACUCCCCUGGACCCAGCUGUGUCUCCAUGAAGAGUGACCGGUCUAUGGAUCAUCCUUAUAGCUUUAAAGAUGGACGGCCCUCCAGAGAGGAGAGCCCAGAGCAGCAGCAGAGAGCAGACUCCCCCGGACCCAGCUGUGUCUCCAUGAAGAGUGACUGGUCUAUGGAUCAUCCUCAUAACUUUAAAGAUGGACGCCCCUCCAGAGAGGAGAGAAGGAGGCAGCAGAGAGCAGACUCCCCUAGACCCAGCUGUGUCUCCUUGAAGAGUGACCGCUCUAUGGGACGUCUUCUUAACUUUAAAGAUGGAAAUCACUCUAUUGAGAAAAGAAGAGUCCAGAAGGAGAGAGCAGACUCCCCUGGACCCAGCUGUGUCUCCUUGAAGAGUGACCGCUCUAUGGAUAUACCAUUGAUGUUUAAAGAUGGACGCCCCUCCAGAGAGGAGAGCCCAGAGAAGCAGGAGAGAGCAGACUCCCCUGGACCCAGCUGUGUCUCCAUGAAGAGUGACCGCUCUAUGAGUAUACCAUUGAACUUUAAAGAUGGACGCCCCUCCAGAGAGGAGAGACACCAGAAGAGGUCAAAUGUUACCAGUGCUCAGUCUCUACAGCAGCACCAAACAGAGCUGAUCAAG